rnacentral:rRNA from 1 species
AUUGAACGCUGGCGGCAGGCCUAACACAUGCAAGUCGAGCGGCAGCGGGACCUUCGGGUUGCCGGCGAGCGGCGGACGGGUGAGUAAUGCCUAGGAGUCUGCCUGUUAGUGGGGGAUAACGCGGGGAAACUCGCGCUAAUACCGCAUACGUCCUACGGGAGAAAGCGGGGGCGCUUCGGACCUCGCGCUAACAGAUGAGCCUAGGUCGGAUUGGCUAGUUGGUGGGGUAAUGGCCCACCAAGGCGACGAUCCGUAACUGGUCUGAGAGGAUGAUCAGUCACACUGGAACUGAGACACGGUCCGGACUCCUACGGGAGGCAGCAGUGGGGAAUAUUGGACAAUGGGCGAAAGCCUGAUCCAGCCAUGCCGUGUGUGUGAAGAAGGUCUUCGGAUUGUAAAGCACUUUAAGUCGGGAGGAAGGGCUGUAGGCUAAUACCUUGCAGUUUUGACGUUACCGACAGAAUAAGCACCGGCUAACUUCGUGCCAGCCGCCGCGGUAA